GACGAACGCUGACGGUGUGCUUUAGACAUGCAAGUCGAACGAGAAAGCCCUUCGGGUUAGGUAAAGUGGCGAACUGGUGAGUAACACGUGGGCAAUCUGCCCCUCGCAGGGGGACGAACCGGAGGAAACCCCGGCUAAUACCCCGUAAGUUCAAAGGGAGGCAUCUCCCUUCGAAGAAAGGUAGCUUCGGCCAUCCGGCGAGGGAUGAGCCCGCGGUGCAUUAGCUAGUUGGUGGGGUAACGGCCCACCAAGGCGACGANGCAUAGCUGGUCUGAGAGGAUGAUCAGCCACACUGGGACUGAGACACGGCCCAGACUCCUACGGGAGGCAGCAGUCGGGAAUCUUGCGCAAU
rnacentral:rRNA from 1 species